CCGCCACCUGCCUGUCACUGUGUAACCACCCCAAAAAAUGCUCUAUGGGUAUUGCACCGAUGUCCAAAACUUCCAAACCAGAAGUGUCUUCGUUUGGCUACAUUUGACCAGCCGCCGCAGCGCUUUAGAGAACGCAGACUCGGACUUGGAGACAGGCACAGACAUAAUAAGAAAAGAACACAGAAGAGAAGAAUAUCAGCUCCCUGCAGAAGUUAAAUGUGAAAAGAGGUAAAGAGGCGUGACUGCCAAGUACAAGAAGGAGAGGACAGACGCAGAUACUGCCAGCAAAAAUCGUCUUUCUUGCGCCGGGUGAUGUGACGAAUUCUGCCUGCCUGCCAAGAAUUAGAUGCACCUCGCGUGUGGUAACCGGUGGUAAUGCCCUUUUAUGCUGAGAAAAGAGGUGGACGCAAAUCUCGGCAGAUGCUGUGUGAUAAAGCAGUUUCCAAAUCCCAUAGUGUCUGCAGUCACGGAAAAUGCAACGAGUCCUACUCAAAGAUAACCGACCCUCCACUCCAAGGAUAAGGAUUGUGACAUUUUUCAGUUUCAGUUUGGUUCCACCAUUUGUACUGUAAGCUUGUGACGGAGUACCUUCACUACAGUUGAGUAAGCGCUUGGACUGCCAUACCAACGAGCCUGGCUCUUUCGCUUUGCUGUCAAAAUUGCAUGUUUGGUACCCUGCAGACCUGUGUUUGAAUCUGGGCAGGGUGACUGCUCUCGCCUUUGGCUGCAUAUGGUGUCAGAAGUGGGAUGGCUUGCCUUGAGGUCAUCUGAGCCAGGUCCAGAGUCCGAACCGUGUGAGGGACGACCAUGGGUAACAUUAAUGAUGGGAUGUGUAUAGUGUACUUUUUUUAGUAAUACUGAUCAUAUGUCAUCAUUUUACUGAUUUUAUUUUUAUUUGAAGAUAUUUUGGUAAAGAUGUACAUGCUGCUGU